rnacentral:tRNA from 1 species
GGAGAGAUGGCAGAGUGGUCGAUUGCGAUAGUCUUGAAAACUAUUGACUGUAACAGGUGGUCCGGGGGUUCGAAUCCCUCUCUCUCCG